rnacentral:lncRNA from 1 species
GCCUUACUAAUUUUUCUUUUCAUUCUCGCUCUUCUCAUUUGUUGUGUCCUCCCAUGCCUAAGGAAAUUCCUGCAGAAAACUGUAGACCAAGCAACACCAACCUUCGCCCAUCUAGAGAUUGGUGACCAAGACCUCACAUCACCCUGUAUUCCGCUACAAACUCUCCCGUAUGUUGAUGAAGUGCAGAAAGUCCAGUACAGGGACAGCGUCCGUCUUUAUGGGUAGACUGCCGUACGGAGAAGUAGUGGAUAAGCCACUAUGAGUUACCAGCGGAGUGAAGAGUGUUCCUGAACCGUAC